rnacentral:rRNA from 1 species
UACAGAGAGGGCAAGCGUUGUUCGGAAUGACUGGGCGUAAAGAGCGCGUAGGCGGUCUGUUAAGUUGGAUGUGAAAUCCCCGGGCUCAACCUGGGAACUGCAUACGAUACUGGCAGGCUUGAGGCCAAGAGAGGAAAGCGGAAUGACGAGUGUAGAGGUGAAAUUCGUAGAUAUUAGUCGGAACACCAGAGGCGAAGGCGGCUUUCUGGCUUGGACCUGACGCUGAGGCGCGAAAGCGUGGGGAGCAAACAGG